UGGCUAACCUCAAACUUAGACUCUGUUCAA
rnacentral:piRNA from 1 species